GGCGUUGAAGGAUGCCAAAGAUAUACUGUGGAAUGAUAUACAGACUGCUUUUGUUCUUGAUGAGGUGAGAAAGAAUUACAUCUUGAGAGUUGCCGGUAAAAUACACCGGGGUUUUAGAUCUCACCUCUCAAAUUUCUAUCUAAAAGAUAGUGAGGGAAAUAUGAAUGCCGAAGCUCCAAGAAUAUAUAAAUAUUAUAUAUUAAAUGAAGAAUGGAGUGCAUUUGUAUCAAAACGUUCUGACCCCGCGUUUGUAGUAACUAAUUAAUUUAUUAACAUUUGUGUUUUAUUAUUCAUAUUCAUAGCGUAUUUUAAAUUUUUACACGAUUGUUAUUUUUUUGUUAUAGAAUAUAAGUAAGGAAAAUCGCGAGAGGGCGAGAAAUCCAACGCACCCAUACAAAAAAUCAUGUAUGGGAUAUGCACGUCUAGAGCAAAAACUUCGACAAGACACCCAAUCCGAUCAACCGUUG